rfam:Sphingobacterium sp. IITKGP-BTPF85 Sphingobacterium_sp_IITKGP-BTPF85_Contig_00083, whole genome shotgun sequence.
GAUUUAUAAAGAAGUGGCGAGAGACUGGCUCAAUGACCCACUGGCAACCUUCAAAAUACGUUUGAAAAGGUGCCAAUUCCUGUCCAAAGUAAUAUUGCUUUGGAGGAUAUAAAUG